ACACCUCAACUCUCACGGUUUUCUGUGAUGAGCUUGGACUGUGGGGGUUUGUUGGCCUUUGGUCAACUCCUCUCAAAUGAAUCAGCUUGCCGGAGUUUGGUGGCAUCACAGGUGUGAUAACUAUCUACGCUUGUUGUCGUCGACCAGGUACCCUCCGAUUUCGGGGGUCCUCUGCGGCUUACAAAUGUCUCUCCUCAGUGAAGACAACCAUUUGAA
rnacentral:misc_RNA from 1 species